rnacentral:snRNA from 1 species
AGCUCAACUCUCUCCAUUUGCUU